rnacentral:lncRNA from 1 species
GAUGUGAUCAUUGUGGAUGGAGAAGAGGAUCAGGAGUGGUGGAUUGGCCACAUUGAUGGAGAGCCCAGCCGCAAAGGAGCGUUUCCCGUAUCGUUCGUGCACUUUAUUGCUGACUAAACUGCCACUGAACAGAAGCCUCUGUUUCACCCUUAUGUUCCAUUUUGUUACUGGUCCCAAGGCCAGCCAUACCAUUUCCAUGGACCGGGUUGUACGGCAGCCCAUCUUUUCACGAUCCUGUCCCAUUCUGAAAACUCAGAGGCAAGGUUUAUAUAUAAGCAGGAUUUUCUUUUUUUUUUUUUUUAUAUAAGUUGUGGUUUUCAUGCAACAUUGCUAUACUUCUACUAGGAAAAGCGGAAUUUCCUAAAAAGGGGGGGAUGAGAAGCUAUUUAACCUUAUACCCAGGAUCCUGUAUUUCCAGGAGUAACUAAGCAAAAAACCAGCUUCAACAAAUUUGAGGGAUUCUUAUGGCUUUCCUUAGCCCAGUUCUCACGUUGGUUAUCUUGUUUAGCACAGUCAGGUUAGCAAGCCAGCCCCAUACUGCUUCCCAGUCUGUCGCCCUCCCCUGGACUUUGACCACAAAUGCCAUCCAUUCACCUUUAAAGACAUGUAUCCCUUUGAAACUCAGCCAGUGUCUGUUCAAGGCAACUUGGCAAGUUAUAUGUUAGCCUUGUACUUUUCUGGACCCUGACUGUAAGGGGGCAGCUGUCAUGACCUCCUGCAUGUAUUACGACCCGUGGUUGUGAACAGUCAUGCCUAGCAUACUACUGAUGGGUUAUUACAGCAUAGCUGACGGUGGUCUGUUCUGCACCGGGUGUUUUUAAACUGCAGAUCCUGAAUUUGGUUGAACACUAAGGAUGCUGAAUCGCAAAGCAGCCCUUCAAACUAGCUUUUAUCGUAUGCCUGGGUGUUUUAGGAUUUGCCGUGUUCAGCGUCCCCUGUCAUGCAGGAAGCAACUGUACAGAAGUAGAAUACGUGGUGCAGGCCACAGUAAGAAGAGCCCAUUCCUCCAUGUCCUAGUGCGUGCUCCUGCCUUCCCCUCCCAGCUCCUGGGGACACCUGCUCGGCUUAGUUCUUGUCUUUUAAUAGGAUUCUCCAAGAGAAAUGGUAGCUACACUGUCUUGAAAUUUAGCCUAUCCAAUUGUUUGUAUUCAAGAGCAUAUCAGAAAUCUGUAGAUCUUGGGGAGCCCAGUACCCCCAAACGUCCCAUUUACACUACGUAAGCCCAUCACAUCACUCCUAAACUUACAAUCUGUGGGGUGGGGGAGGGGAACUAGGUUGUGUGUGAUAAAAAUCAUAACUCAUUAGUUUCAUGAACUUGACUGUCAUACCUCUGCUUAGUAACUGUAAGCAAAAGAGUCAUGGUUGGGAUAUGGGAAAUGAGAGGCGAGCAUAGAGCUUGAACAGAAGCUGGAGUGUGAGCAAAAGGAAUGGACUAUGGAUUAAGGAUUGAGCUCGACAGUGAGGCGAUGUUGCUGCCAAGGUGCAGCACUUAAUCGAAGCAGCCCCUUCUUUACUCUCUGUGCAAGGCUCUUACAAGCUCGGAGCUUCCCUUUCUUUGUUUCUUUCAAGGAAAACAGGACAAACUGGAAUGUCUUAUGAUGCUACAUAGUGACUGCUUCCUGUCUUUCAGAUUCUGGGUGAAAACAACGUGUUAGAUCUGUAAAGUCAGUAUCUCUCUCUCUCUCUCUCUCUCUCUCUCUCUCUCUCUCUCUCUCUCUCCCCCCCCCACCUCUCCCCACACUGCAUCUGUUUUUCACUACUUGCUAAUUUCUGUCCUUUGAGCCCUUCUCCUAGUCACGUUUUUCGUAGACUGAAGAGCGUGACCAGAUGCAUUUUGCACAUUGCACUUCCCAAUACCUUUUACAGUGCCUCCCGCCCGACCCCACACGCAUCUGUCUCAUCGGUCUUUAGUGACCUGGUGCCAGCUCUGAGGAAUCUAGUUGAUUUAUGUCAACAUUUUACCUCCAGUCCCAAGCUAAUCUAUCAGGUUCACUGGUACAUAAAUACCUAGGAAAUAUUUUUCCACUCUAAUUUGGUGGCGCUAUUGUGCGCUAAUGGAUAGUACUUUUUACCAGAAGAGAAAAAUCUAUUGACUUCCCUCCUAAUUAUCCUUUCUGUUACUUGCUCUUUGCAAAUCGAAGAGAAAGCAACGGAAAGGAAAGCAUUGUAGAUAUCUAUUUAUAUUUAAGGUUUACAUUUUCAUGAGAGUCAGCUGCGGAAUUCGGGCUUCUUUUAUUUUAUUUUUUUAAUUUUUUGCCGCUUUCCAUCAUUCUGAUGUGGAGGGCGGAUGACUCAGAAAAGGGUGCACAGACUAAUGUCAUCUAUUGAGGGUGGAGAAUGACCUGUAGCCGAGAACGCUAUUUUGAGAUGUAUGAUAUUCAAUUCAUUCACUUGAUUACUUUGGUCUGGUUGCAGCGCAACUGUAUAUACUGUAUAACCUAGACGGAUUAUUUUCAUUGUCCUUAUUGCAGUGAUUUAUAAUUAGGGCAUGUUUAAUAAAUUGACUUCCCGUUAACCAGUCAUUUGACUGGAAAAAAAAAAUAAAGUUCUUUUAAAUGG